rnacentral:rRNA from 1 species
UACGAAGGGUGCAAGCGUUACUCGGAAUUACUGGGCGUAAAGCGUGCGUAGGUGGUCUGUUAAGUCUGAUGUGAAAGCCCUGGGCUCAACCUGGGAAUGGCAUUGGAUACUGGCAGGCUAGAGUGCGGUAGAGGAUGGCGGAAUUCCCGGUGUAGCAGUGAAAUGCGUAGAGAUCGGGAGGAACAUCUGUGGCGAAGGCGGCGACCUGGACAGUUACUGACACUCAACUGCGAAAGCGUGGGGAGCAAACAGG